rnacentral:rRNA from 1 species
GACGAACGCUGGCGGCGUGCUUAACACAUGCAAGUCGAACGGAAACGCCCUGCUUUUGUGGGGUUCUCGAGUGGCGAACGGGUGAGUAACACGUGAGUAACGUGCCCUUGACUUUGGUAUAACUUCAGGAAACUGGGGCUAAUACCGGAUAGGAGCUCCUGCUGCAUGGUGGGGGUUGGAAAGUUUCGGCGGUUGGGGAUGGACUCGCGGCUUAUCGGCUUGUUGGUGGGGUAGUGGCUGACCAAGGCUUUGACGGGUAGCCGGCCUGAGAGGGUGACCGGGCACAUUGGGACUGAGAUAAGGCCCAGACUGCAACGGGAGGCAGCAGUGGGGAAUAGUGCACAAUGGGCGGAAGCCUGAUGCAGCAACGCCGCGUGUGGGAAGACGGCCUUCGGGUUGUAAACCGCUUUCGCCUGUGACGAAGCGUGAGUGACGGUAAUGGGUAAAGAAGCACCGGCUAACUACGUG